CUUCAAAAGAUCUCCAGGUGCUUCUCUUCUCUACAAGCCAGUGCUAAAGAUAUAGCAUCCCGUCUGGCCUUUAAUGGGCACUCCAUGUUUGGUCAGCCAGAAUGUUCUAGAAAAAGGAGGGCAGCUGGUAAUCCAAUAACAGCUGCUAUGAUUGGCCCCAAGCCUCAGCUUACCUUUGGCUGGAAGAUUGAUUCUGUGGCCCUCCUGAUUGAAGCAGGACAUGUGCCAGGCCUCACUCCCGUUGUGGUACCCAGACUCUGCCCACCAGCUGUGCUUCACCUGCCUGCGGAGGGCUGUUCCUGCUUGCCUAGUGAUGUGGACCAGCUCUGGUUUGGCCAACUCUACAGCUUCUCCACCAGGAAAAAAAGACCAUGUGUGCCAUAGGUUCACCACCACUGCCUUAGCCGGUGACUAGCAGGGCUAGGUGAGUAAAUACCCCAGCUCCUUAGCCCUUGCCUGGCAGAUUUUCGCAUGGAUGCCUGAACUUCCUGCAAAAUGAAGCCCACCAUGCUAGUCAGCUUCGGAAUAACCUGUACUGGCGGCUCCUUCCCUGCCACCUUCCCACUGUCCUGACGGGUUCCUGAAAGUCCAAACAAUCUGUAUGUGCUCAGUCAGACUCAGCAUCUGCUUCUG
ensembl:lncRNA